UAUAUAAUUUUAGAAGAAGGAAUUAAUUUUGGGUUGGUUUACCCCGUCUUUAUGAAUCUUGUAGUCCAUUUCUUUUAGUCUUUGGCCCAAUUCCAAAGUUCAUAAUUUUCAAGCUCAUAACUCCUAGGCCCAUACCCCUAACCUAAUCCCUACCCCUAUAUAAUAAGACUUACACCUUAAGGACACAGCAGCCAUCAUCUUGAAGGAUCCAAGAAUCCCUACCCAAAAAAAUGAGAGCAGUCGCAAUACACAAUAGAUCCCUCAGUCGUUGAGCUUCAUCUUCUCCACACCUUGAGCAGCGAACAAACACAAAAAACAGACCCUUUCCUUCUCAACUUUUGGCAGCGCCUCUUGCAAAAGGUACUAAAAUAUCAAGAUUCCUCCUUGUUCAGAUUGUGGACACUUUUGUAUACUUGCUCUUCCCGAGCACGUUUUGCUGCAAAAGCUUCCUCAUCAAGUACUUUGAUUGGCGACCACUCGGGCAAUUUUAACCAAUCAUCUUUCCUAUUGACAAUAGAGUUAUAGAAGCUUCUCAAGGUUGGUUUUAUUUUGAUGGUAGCAUAAUCAACUGUCGUUCCAGCAACCGCAAAAAUGACCGAAUAACGAAUAACACCAAGUUGACCACCUGACAAUUUCAUCAAAAAGAACAGUUUUCUCUACUCUUUGUUGUAUUUUCGAGAGCUGAUAGCCGCAAACCAUCCCAAAUAGUUCACUUACACCACUGUUCAAGCGCAAUCGAGGUUCGAGUUCGAGUUCUGGUUGUGGUUCGACUUUGUUUUGCUGUUUGUUUAGAUCUGCUUCUCUCCUCAUGCUCAAAGGAAUCAUCCGGAGGCAAUGUGGAACGAAAGUGCACGAGUUGAAGCAAAAUAAAAAAUUGGGAUAGUGUAGCACCACAGGUAGCGUGAGGUGCUACCUACGGCCCAGUUUCCAGAACCUCAAAAAUCCCAGCGCCAGGGCUAGUGCCCCAAUCUACCCUAGGCGCUGGGAGAUGGGAAAGUAUCCUAAUUCGUCCGGGACAAGGUUAUUUUAACCCAAGACGCCCAACUCGUAUAAAAGCAAGUCUAAACCUAGUUUGGAGGGGGAGACGCCACUUUGAAGGAAAAAUACGCACAAGGAACAUCCGGGAGCAAGGAUAUCUCAGUUUUCUUCGUCUUUUGUUUGUAUUUUCAAUUAUUCAACACUUGUAAAUUAGUUUUAAUAUUAUCAUGAGUGGAUAAAAACCCAUAGUUCUCAGGUUGUGAUUUAACCAUGGAUAUGUUGUUUGAAAUUGACUUAACCUUGAUUGCAAUUCACCAAUAUAUGGUUAUUUCUUCAA